rnacentral:misc_RNA from 1 species
CACCUUCAUUGCGUCUCCAUCAGACAGAUGUAAAAGGCCAUGCGCAACAGCUUCUCGCAUACGCUCUUCGCCAACGUAGUGGAUCCACGCAGCCCUUCACACCGACAGACACACACGUGCAUCACUUUCCUCCCCUCCAAUCACCCUCUUCUCUCUUCCUGAAUUGCCUUAGCGGCUGGGACACUCUCGUGUAGAUGCCUGGGGGAGGCAGGAUGGUGACGACCAUCGGCAACGGCGGUGGAGUUGUGGCCACGUGUGGGCAGUGCGGCACGGCGUUUCAAAAGUUGAGCGCGCGUUUUUGCAGCCGAUGCGGCGCGCGGCGUGAUAUUCCAGCUGCGGCGGCCGUGACGGCCGCCGCCGCGGCGAGAAAGCCGAAGCCCAAAGAGGCGGUUGUGUCGAUGCCACCCUUGGCCUCUGCCGGCAAGGAGUCCGUCUCGCGGCCACCGGCUGAUGGCGCGAAGGGCACGCUGCGGCCGUUUGAUCUAGAGAAGCUCGGCGAGAAGCGAAGUAGCGGCGGCGGUAGUGUGGCCCCACCGCCCUUGACAGAGGUGUCGGCGUCUGCGCUAGAGUUUCGCGACCCAAGCGAGGCCACCUCCAUCACCACACCCAAGCGGCGAGCUAGCCUUGCAACGGCAGCUGGAGGUGUGCUUUCCUCUGCCGUUGAUGCUUCUCUGACCCUUUCUGAUCAGCAGCGGCGGCGCGAGCAACGCGCGUCUUCCAAUUACGUCAAGGACGGCUCACUCACCGGGCCACCUCUGGCAUCGAUGGCUGACCGGGACCAGCUUGAGCAUGUGCUCACUUCGUCUUCACAGGAUGACGCGGCGAUGGGAGGCGCUGCGGGCAACGGCGUUGACCGAAGUCACGUCCCCAUUCCGCCCCCCGAGCAGCGCCCGCCGUCCACCUUUCCACUAUCUGUAGCGCUAGUACGCAGGGACGGGGGCAGAGCAGCAGUGACGGAUGGCGCAGACUUCAAGGGCGCCUCGGUGAAAACAGCUCCCACUGCCUGGCCGGCGGAAGCGCAGGCGUCCACGAGCAACGGUGGCGACACCGAAGAGGCUAUCGCGUCUCUGCGGCCAUCGGCGGAGGAGGAGGCGCAGUACACUGCCUGGGUGACGCUCUCGCCUGACGACCUCACCCCGGAGAUGUUGCAGACUAGCAAUGCCAGCGAGCUGCGACAGUGGCGCAAGGGCAGCCUCAUCGGCCGCGGCACCUACGGGUCUGUCUAUCUAGGGCUCCUUCCUGACGGCAGCUUCCACGCCGUCAAGUGCGUGGAGCUGGGCAACAGGAAGGCUGCAGCAGAUCACCUCGGCGCCCUCGAGCUUGUCUCACUCUCGCGCGAGGUCAACAUGAUGCAUCGCUUGCGACACCGAAACCUCUGCACGUUCAAAGGCGUCUACUUUGACUCGGAGAGCGCCUGCGUCUGCAUGUUCAUGGAGUACAUCGGCGGCGGCUCCCUCUCCGCUCUCGUCAAGAAGUUCAAGCCGCUGCCAUCCUCGGUGGUGCGCAGCUGGACGCAGCAGCUGCUCUCAGGGUUACACUACUUACAUAGCCAGCACAUCAUUCACCGCGACAUCAAGGGCGACAAUGUGCUGGUCGACACCACAGCCGAUCCAGCCACCAAGUCGCAGAUCAAACUUGUCGACUUUGGGGCGGCGCGGCGGCUGACAGAUGCCGUGUCGCAGAGCAGCACCGUGAUCGGCACACCGUACUGGAUGGCGCCCGAGGUGGUGGACGCGUCCGGAGACGGGAGCGGGUAUAGCUAUAAGGCGGACGUGUGGUCGGUGGGGUGCACUGUGGCGGAGAUGCUGACGGGGCGGCCGCCGUGGCCGUGCAAGACGAGUGCACCAGCCGCUAUCAUGAUGAUUGCGUCUGCCACCGGGAUGCCGACGGAAAUUCCGGAAGAGGAGGCGACGCCAGGAUGCCUAGACUUCAUGCGCCAGUGCUUCAUCCGUGACCCGGAGAAGCGGCCGACGGUGCAGCAGCUGCUGCAGCACCCGUGGAUACAAGUAAAGAUGGAGUAGUGGGGGGGGGGAGAGAUCGAGGGAAGGGAUAGACAAAGUUCGGGUGAGAGCGCAACGCCCUGUGCCGCGAUAUCGACGACCCCCUCCACUUGCUCAUCACCGUCGCCGCUGCACUGUUUCUCUUCCCUUUCUCUCGCUCUUUCCCCAUCCCCACGCUCACUCACACAGACACGCUGCGCUUCUCUUGCAUCGUUGCGUGGGCGUGGACGACUUCUCGUUUAACAGCGACAGGAUGUACAUGGAACCUGCUGGGUUUCUCUGGUGUAUAGGUAUACGGAUAUAUGUAUUGUCCCUCUUCCUUUUUUUUCUUUCUGCUGUGGCUAUGUGUCGAUGAGCAACCGAAGCGGCGACAUUGUCCUCGCAAAGGACGCGACCAAGUGCGAAGGACGAAGGAUAGAUCGCGCGCCUGCUCAAGCAGCGAUCAAACCUUUCACAACUCUCUCUCCCUCUUCUCUCCCCCUUAUGUGUGUUGCAGCAUCUCUUUGUGUCCGUAGAUGGGCCGCCUUUCUCCGCUGUCUUCCUUUCCGACUCUCUCACACCCACACCCACACGCUCUGCAUGUUGGCUCUUGUUGUUUUCUAUUGAUUUGCACAUACCUGUGCGCGUGUGCCCCGCUGUGUCCGUCUCUUGUGGCGCUUUACAUCAUCUCCGCGUGUGCCGUGCCCUGCGCACCCCUUCGCCAUUCGUGUCCGUCUCUCUCUCUUUGCUCUGUACUUAAGCAGUCUGUAGCGACCGGAAUACACAAGGAGACGCACCACCCACCACCGCCACUCCGAUAAGGAAAGCGAAACACGACCACAGAGGAGGAAAAGCGCCAUGAUAGAACCCUCCCUUCCACGAAGCGCCCCUCAGGAAUGCAUGCUUGCGUGUGCGCAAGAGCGCGCACCGCUCUCUCCUGUCUCCCCCCUCCGCCUCCGCCAUGUCCAAAGAAGAGACGGCGCAGGUUCCAUGGCUGCCACGCCCUUCUUAUCCUCCUCCUUCACCUUCACACUCUUUUUCUUGUCCCUCCUUGAUGGAACUCCCUGACAACGCGCCUCAUCCUUCUUUGCUCACUGCUGUACACAUGCGCAUGCAUGCAUCUCGGGCAUUGAUGCUGUGGCAUACCCUUCCAUUCGCUUUUAUCUCUGGAG